AGAGUUUGAUCAUGGCUCAGGAUGAACGCUAGCGGCAGGCUUAACACAUGCAAGUCGAGGGGCAGCAUAAUGGAUAGCAAUAUCUAUGGUGGCGACCGGCGCACGGGUGCGUAACGCGUAUGCAACCUACCUUUAACAGGGGGAUAACACUGAGAAAUUGGUACUAAUACCCCAUAAUAUCAUAGAAGGCAUCUUUUAUGGUUGAAAAUUCCGAUGGUUAGAGAUGGGCAUGCGUUGUAUUAGCUAGUUGGUGGGGUAACGGCUCACCAAGGCGACGAUACAUAGGGGGACUGAGAGGUUAACCCCCCACACUGGUACUGAGACACGGACCAGACUCCUACGGGAGGCAGCAGUGAGGAAUAUUGGUCAAUGGACGCAAGUCUGAACCAGCCAUGCCGCGUGCAGGAUGACGGCUCUAUGAGUUGUAAACUGCUUUUGUACGAAGGGUAAACGCAGAUACGUGUAUCUGUCUGAAAGUAUCGUACGAAUAAGGAUCGGCU
rnacentral:rRNA from 1 species